rnacentral:rRNA from 1 species
GAGUUUGAUUAUGGCUCAGGACGAACGCUGGCGGCGUGCCUAACACAUGCAAGUCGAACGGAGAUUUUAUUUCGGUAAAAUCUUAGUGGCGAACGGGUGAGUAACGCGUAGGCAACCUGCCCCACAGCCGGGGACAACUUUCCGAAAGGGAGGCUAAUACCGGAUACGAACGAGGUAUCGCAUGAUACGUGGUUGAAAGAUGGCCUCUGCAAGCAAGCUAUCGCUGAGGGAUGGGCCUGCGUCCGAUUAGCUGGUUGGUGAGGUAAGGGCUCACCAAGGCGACGAUCGGUAGCCGGUCUGAGAGGAUGAACGGCCACAUUGGGACUGAGACACGGCCCAGACUCCUACGGGAGGCAGCAGUGGGGAAUCUUCCGCAAUGGACGCAAGUCUGACGGAGCAACGCCGCGUGAGGGAGGAAGUUUUUCGGAACGUAAACCUCUGUUGUUCAUGACGAACGAGCUUUUUAUUAACAACGAAGAGCCAUGACGUA